AAAAGGAAAGACAAGACUGAGAAUGAGUCUCCAAAACCAACAGUAAUUCUUGAACAAUCUAGGGAUGUCUCCACUGGUAAAAGAAAUGGCGUUGCCAAAGCAAAGGCAGUGUGUCCGUGGCAUUCUCUAAUACUACGCAUGAAUAAAUGCAUGAAUAAAUUCCUUGUAUACCAAAAAAACUACAAAAAAGACUUUAACACCUUCCCUUGAUCAAGCAAGGCUAAAUCUGAAGCAAAACAAUAAAAACUUCCCUUUUACAAAGUCAGGCUUCUCCCUACCUUCAUGUUUCUACAAAGGCUUGUCCUUUGAGCAGAUUAUCCCAUGGUUGAGUUCGGAUGAGCCGCACUGAGCCUCAGCUCAGUUGCCCCUGAGCAGCUGCAGCAGAGGAAGAUGAGCACAUACCACAGAGCAGACAGACACACCAGCCAAGAUACCUCCACCUUCACUCUCUUUCUCCUAGUUGUAAACUUGUUCCUUGGGUCCUCCCUGCUUACUAGUUUCCUCUCCUUGCCUUCCAGACCGGUUUCAUGUAUUUAUAGUUUUAAAGUCACUCUCUGGACACAUCUCUUAUUUGUGCGUAAUGACGUUGAAAAAAGGAACGCCCCUGGCAAAGAGAAAUCCUUCAGCACAAAGAAGUCCUAGGAUCUAGCUAAAAAUUUUCAGCAAGUGAUGAGAUUUCUGUUCCAUGGUAACCAUUAUUUUCCUCUAGAAACUGAGAUGGAAAAUAAUCAGAAGGCAGUUCUUGCGACAAGAAUGAAGCUUAAACAAUACAGACUAUCUACACUUUCCCAGCUAAACCAGUAUCACUUUUGAAUCUGGGUACAGAGAUUAGUGGUGUCUUCAUGAUGUACUUCUCUAAACCAACAAGCAAACCCUUGCUGGAAAGAAUCUGUUUCCUCACAUAUUCCUCUCAGUGUAAAACGCAGUAACAAAUAACCCCAAGCUCAGCGUAUCAGUUUUGUUCAUGGGUUCACAUAUUUUAAUUUCAAAACACAGGACCUAGGGUAUCAUCAUCAAACAUUUCACGUACUCCCAGCUUCAUGGGUAACUCUGGCAGAACCAACACUAUCAGAAAUGCUUUUCUUUAAGGUCUGACAUUAAACUAUUAACAUUUAACAAUAGCAAAAUGAGAAUCUGAUUUAAUUUCAUUUAAGUAGAGGCACUAGUGAUUAAAAUCACUUGAAGCAGUUCUCUUUUCCAAAAUUGCUCAACGCAGCAGUUCAACACAGUCCGACUCCUUAUAGCUGCAUCAAGUGAACGUGUACCAGGUCAGCAGAUCUCAGCCUCUGAAGUUCACUCCCUCCCCUGCCCUUUCAAAGGCCUCUCACAAGAAUAAAAAGUAAACGUGUUUGCGAUAAGAAGCCUGUGGAUCACAUUAGAGUGAUUAGACUGCAAUGUUCUGACCUUUAGCAUUUAUCACUGGGUUGGUCUCCACCCUGCCAUGAGUGGGAUUCCACAGUGCCCACUCAAGUGAUUUCUUCCUUUCACCUUUCAAUAGUGUGAAACAACCAAUGCUCUGAGCUCAGCAGACUUUCCACUGGCAUUUUUAGUCUUUCUUGUGUUCUGAAUAUCUCCAUUUCCCCCAGCCUCUACUGCAAAAAGAAAUCAAAUCACCUUUCUGUUUUACCAGCCAGCGAUCAGUAGCCUUAAGACAAAUACACCAGUCAGUUCAAAACUAAGCAGCAGCUAUGUAUGUAGCCUCAGAAAUGCUGGGACCCAGGGCAGUUCUGUCAGCAUGAGCUCUGCAGGUUGUUUGACUCUAUGACCAGAUAUGCAGAGUGAAGCUUUGUAAUUUCGUGUACUUCGUUAGCUGACCUGCUAACUUAAUAAAACAGGAUCCGUAGAAAGCAGGUUUUCUCUAGUGCUACGGUUUUUUAAGUUACAUGCUUUUACAUGUAAAUGGUGACAAACUAGGACAGCAGUGGUGCUCAUCCGCCAGCCCUGAACGAGGUUGUGGAUCCCACGACAGGAGUAAAGUAUCACGGGGAACAUGGGAACCAGUGCUGCCUCACUGGGGGCACAACACUGAGCUUAUUCCAGCAGCUUAUUCCAGAAAGCCUGUGAGUCAGGCACCUGCGAUGUUCACCCCUGCCCUUCUGUUAAUCUUCCCCCUUCCAACUAAUAUUCAAGCUCUCAUAAUUUGACUCCACAGCAUUUGCUCUCGAGGAUGCUGGUGGUUUCUCCCUUCUGGUGCUCACCAGCUCUGGUUGUUGGAGAAGGACAAAACAGACCUGAUGGUGACUAUCAGCAAACUUCUGUUAAAACUACACUUAAGAAUAUCUUCAUGUUUGGAUGAGUUACUAGGUUAGGUAGUUCAGAUGAGGUCUCUGAACCUCAACACUGCUGAAACAGACAGCUGUUCAGCAUAACUCAGGUUGCACCCCAACUGCCUCUUGAUUCAGUCUGAUUUGGGGGGGGGAGUGUGUUCUCUAGAUUACAUCUUGCACAAGGGAUUAUCAGAAGUUUAGUAUUAUUUUGUUCCCAGAAGCUCAAAUGACUGAUCCAUGCUUCAGCACUGUGCCAGUCAGCAAUUAGCUCGCAGGGACACACUGGCUUUAUGGCUUAUGUUAGUGAAUUUUAUUAGCCACUGUUGAGCCACAGAGCCCAAGCUGUAGUCAAAUUUCAAACCUCUUAAAAAUGAAAUUAAGCCCCCAACAAAUCUGUUUGACUGCUCGAUACAGGAAAGGUACAGUGUCCCAGAAAUUUCAAGAUCUAGAAUCAUAGAAUCGUUAAGAGAAGACCUCUAAGAUCAAGUCUAACCGUCAAUCACCACAACACUAAACCACGUACCUAUGUGUCAUCUAUAAGUUUCUGAAUGCCAUCAGAGAUGGUGACUGCACCACCUCCCUGCCACCAAUGCCUCAUCAUUCACUUCUGAGAAGAAAUGUUUCCUAAGGUCCAACUUGAACCUCCCCUGGUGCAACUUGAAGCCAUUCCCUCUCAUCUUAUCACUCGUUACCUAGGAGAAAAGGCUGCCCUCCACCUCACUGCAAUCUCCUUUCAGGUUGCAGAGAGCAAUGAGGUCUCCCCUAAGCCCCUUCUUCUCCACAUCGAACAACCCCAGCUCCCCCAGCCAUUCCCCAUCACACUUGUGCUCCAGACCCCUCACCAGCUUUGUUGCCCUUUCUCUAGACGUGCUCCAGGGCUUCAGUGUCUUUCUUGUCAUGAGGGGCUCAACACUGAACACUUCAGGUGCAGCCUCACCAGUGCUGAGUACAGAGGGACAGUCACCUCCCUAGUCCUGCUCACAGCACUACUGCUGACACAAGCCAGGUGCAGGGGGUUGUUGUGACCAAAGUGCAAGACCUGGCACUUGAUCUUGUUGAAGCUCAUGCAGUUGGCCUCAGCCCACUGAUCCAGCCUGUCCAGAUCCCUCCAUAGGGCCUUCCUGGCUGAGAGGACAACAGGCAUGUAAUCUGAAAACUUACUGAGCGUGCAAUCAACUCUUUCGUCCAGGUCAUCAAUCAAAAUAUUAAGCAGGACUGUAAACAGAUCUGCUGUAAGCAGUUCCUUGUGCUGCAGCAAAAACCAUGGCUCUUAAUUUGCAUAUUCUUAUAAAUGACUUCAUACAUUAUAAAAACCUGCAAUUUGAGAGAGGAAGUGCUCAGUCAAGACUGAUUCCUCUUGGGCUAUUUUUGCUCGGAUGAGAAGAACACAACAGAGCAAAAAAAAAAGGAGAACAAGACAGCCGUGACUCCAUCUUGUGAUGACAUGCUUAAAAACACAGAGGCUAAAUUCCACGCUUGUAUGAAGAUGCACAUAGCUUUCAUCAAUUUCAAAACGUAUUUUGUUCACACCUAGAAGAUAAUGAUCCAAACAAAAAUAAAAUGUUGUUAUUUUUAAUGAACGUCUAAUUCUGCUCCCUCUGAAGUCCAUUUGAGAGUAACCUCUGACUUGACCGUACGCUGGCUUACAUCUUGAGAAUAUUAAAAACAAACAAAAACAAGGCACACAGGCACACUGACUAACGCCUGGAGCGUGGCUACACAGAGGAUGGUCGUGCCAUUCAGUGUUUUUCAUUAACGUCCACGCCAAAGGAGAACGGACUGCAUUAAACCAGACAAACCUAGAUUUAUUAACAUGAAGAAACGCUGCUAAAGGUUUGUGGGGCAGAAAGGAUUGGAGACCUGCCACCCCAUCCCAGGCAAGCUUCACACAUGUAGCCUUACUGAAAUCAGCGGCACUACUCACGUCAAGCAGAACGGCUGCACAACGCAGCGCGUUUAGAAUAGGUACAGCACAAAAGGCUCAGACACAGCACGUGGACGAAAGGAAGAAGUACUCUGCUUUUGGCAGCAGUUCAGCAUCCUCUUCUGACUUCUAGCUGUGUAGUACCACGCCUUGUUAUCUUUGUAAGAAUCCACAAAAGAGCUGAAGCCCAACCUUCGAUCUAGGCUUGUUUCAGUGAUGGCCCUGCCUAAUAAAAAAAUAGCCUUAAUCUGGCAAAAAUUCAUUUUCUGUAGUUAUCCAUGCAAACAGAAGUGAAUGAAGCGAUGCUUGUAAAUGCAGCUAUUUUACAAGGGGAAGGAAAACUUUCAAAAUUAUUGCUUCACAACUCAAACGCAUUGAAAUGAAAAUAAUAAUAUUAAGAAGAUUUGAAAAGAAAUGAAACUGUCUAAGGUAAUUACGGGCCUUGGCACAAAAUCCACAAAACCACAAGCAGCACAAUGAUAAAAGAAAACUAACACCACUCACCAAGAUUCUGGCAACUGGAUUUAUAAAAUAGUACCUAGAGGCACGGGCAAACCUGGGCAGAGCUGGCUGUCCAAGCAGCAACAGGCUACAAUAACUCGCAGAUCCUUUCUUUACAAAUCUGCGUACAUGAUUCCCCAGCCUAAAAAAAUAAUUACCUUUAAAAUGAUUCUUUACUCUCUUACCUAAUAUCACAAAAAGAAACGGAUACAGCCCCACUGCGGGCACACAAGCACCCCUGCACAAAUCAUGAACUCCCUCCAACCCAGCUCAUGCAAUAUCAGAGCUAGGGCUGCCCCGCUCUCAGAAAUCUUUGUUGCUGGAAUCGAGACGCCUCACUGGGUUUCUGUUGAAUAAGAGAAGAACUUGUUUUUGCUUCUGUAGCACAGCGCUGAAGAUUUCAGGGUCCAAUCCACAAUUCCAAAUUCUGGCACAAAAUUAAAGAUGCCAACAGCAUCGGGCCUCCUAUCUACUGAUCUCCAGUGCUUCUCAUUAUUUUAAGAGUCUUCAACAUCCAGAAAGAUCAGUAAGAUACCAUUUACCCGGUGAAAUUACUAGAGAAUUAAAGGUUGUGAUGUUCGCUCAUGAGGUGAUGCUGUAGAGAAAGUGAAAGUUUAUUUUGAACGCCGAAGAGAAAUGACGCCGUGCUUGGUUUUGACCUGAAAUGUGAUAACUGCUUGAACAGGAGGUUCUUCACAUACAGCCCUCCAUCCAGCUUCUAGACUAAUGGUGCCAGAAACUUCUGCAGUGGGAGGAGAUGGAAGCACUGCAGCACCUAAAUGUAACUUACACGGAAACUUCCAGGGCAAAUGACAUGGUCUGACACAUUCAGAGAGGGCUGUGCUGAGAACAGCAGCUCAUCCUGCAAGGGACAUCUUGUGACCUUCACUUCUCACAGUGGGGGCACAGGGGAGCAUGAGCAACGCUAGAUCUCAGCCAAGGUGAAUGACCUCCUGCACACGAAAGUACUUCAGCACAGAGACUGCUUAGGAACAAACAUCAUUAAUAACCACGAUGAGCUGUAAUUCUGCCUUUUUUUUUUUUCUUACACAGGCAGUGCUUUUUAACGUAGAGUUACGCAGGGAGCUCAGUUUCACUUCAGUGAUGACACAGGUGGCCUCCUCAUGUGUUCUGCUCCUCAAAUGAUCUGGGGGCACAAAGACACUCCAUUACGCCGAUACGUGCCCAUCAGUUUAAGCCAGCCAACAUCAAAGGUUUUGCUGCAGCAGGGUGGCUCUGCCCGGCCUCCAUUUCCAGCACUAACCUUAUGCUGGGACUCACUCUUAGGUGGUGAAUCAGAUCAAAGAACUAGCGAGACUCAAAACUAAACUGACAAAAGAGGAAAACGUUUGCGUUCAGUCAGCCAGCUCCCAUGAAUGCUAGACCUGGCACAAGGUGAAGGCAGACAUAGCAAGAGGAAGGACUGCCUCUUUCACUGAUUUGUGCUAGACUCAGCCAGCCAGAGGAACCGGGUGCGAGCGGCACUGGGAGGCACGCUUCGGAUUGUACUUACUUUCCCCAGCCUGUGCUCACAUUGCAGCUGCAGCUCUGGCUCACCUGGCUGCGUGGCAGCCACCUUCAGAAGGGCCACGGCAGGCAGGGAACGUCACGCACGAAGCUGCCUUGGUAUUUGACAUGCAUCUCCCAAAGCUGAAUUACAUACAGCUAAGGAGAACCUUGCCAGCUCGUUUCAUGCUACACUUGCCACAUGAACCACAGCCAUACUGGUACAAAAGAAAGAGAAGACCGUCCCGAUGCACUAUUUCACACUGGCUGGCAAAAGGUGAGUAUUAUCCUCUCUUCUCUGCACCUGGACUUCACCAACUGGAUACACAGCACUGGGUGACAGGCCAAGCAGUUCAGCAACGUGUCUGGGGGCACAGCAGCAUCUGCAACUUGCUAAAAGAGAGAAGCUGGGAACAAUGGGACAGAAGGGCUGUGGCAGCACUAUGUUUCUUCUGGUCAAUGCAUGCCUCUGUGAUGCAUGAGGAGGCCAAGUCAAGAGUAGAAACCUGAGGGGACAUCAUGUGGCUGGCAUCAUAGUGAAUGCACACAAUUUGCACAGAAGAUGCUGAAAGCAUUAACAAGGGACAAACGCUGCCAGCUGAGAGUGGGGAUUUCAGAGUCAAACAGCCUUGCAGAUAUGUUUCAGAAUGACUCCGAUGUCACCAGAUCCAGCUAGGCACAAGGCACCAUCUGCAAACAGCGAAUCGCUACCAUCCCAUCCAGGAGUUUGGAGAUUGACAUCAGUUGCCUCACCAGCACAGGCACCUGUGGCAACUUCGGCUUCCCUGGAAGACAAAGGCCUUUACACAAGCAAGUUUGGAACACAGCCUCACACUUUGCUAUUACUUCUGCCUUUACAGUAAGUAAGGUGUUCAGCCUAUACAGUAAGCAAUAUGUACACUGGUAAGCUGCAGACAUUUGGGCUGUUAGGAAGGUCAAUGCUGAACCUUUGUCCCAAAUGGGUACUGAGGUCUGGGAUUGUUUGACUGUUUCAGAAGAAGAUGGGGAAGAAAACAAAACCAAAAACAAGCGGCCCACAAACACCCCAAAGACUAGUUUUCAACUCCAGAACUUGAUGUUCAUACAAGAAAUGAGCAGCACUAGCUUGCAAGCUGCUUCAAGGAUGCACCUAACUCCGUGACUCUUCCCUAAAUGGAAGAGCUGGAUACCAUUCUGAAGAUAAAUAAAUAAAUGCACAAAAUAGGAUGGAUACAAUCACCUUGGAGAAUGUAGUGAUACUCAUUUGACCUUAAAAAAAAAAAAAAGAAAGAAAAGCCUAUACAUACAAGUUUCAGUCUCACCAAGCAGCAAACAUUAGGGUGACUGCUGCUAACAAAAACCUGUUUUGAUCAACUAAGCGCACGUAAAACUAUUUCUGUCACUAAUCCUGUUUUACCUUGGUCCUGUGCCUCUCAGGGCUUGGCUCAGCAUGGGACUGCCCUGCAGCUGCAAGAGGCUAACCCCAUGGCAGCUCUGCCCCAUGCUGACACGUUACCAAAUGCACUGAGGCAGCUACACGGGCUGGAAAAUGCCAGUGGCCCCUUAGCAGCACGCAGCCUGCAAGAGCAGGGGGCAGCCCUGGGCAUCACCCACACCAGGAGCUCCCACUACCUGGACAGGGCUGCAGUCUCUUCUGGUGCUGGGCUACUGGCUGAAGGGAGCCCAGAAUAUGACCCGGUGCUGUCAGGCUGUAAUUACCUCAAAAAUGCAGAGUGGAUUUGGAGCUACGUGCCAACCACAGCGACAAUCUAUUCUCUAAUGAUUUUACUUGCACUCAGCGCUGCUAAGAAUAGAGCUCUACGCGAUCACUAAAGUUUCUUUGGUGAAGUAGACCUACGUAAGAGGACUUUUAUCAUGUUCUUUUCAUUUACAGCAUCGAGAUAAAAACGUAAAUUCAUUUCUUAUUUAUUGAAUAAAAGAAAGCAAGCUAAGAGGGCCGAACAAGGAGUUCUUUAUUGUGCUGUCUGAAAUCAAGAUGGAGUAGGCUGACCCAAAGUAAAGUAAAACAAUGAACUUAGUUUACACUAUGUGUUGAAGGACUAAAGUAAUUUAAAAACAAGCUGCUGUGUGCGUGAAUUACUAGAACUAGGGCAACUGUUUUGAUGGACCAGACUGACUACAGGCAGCUUGACUACAGGCAGCUGUCCUGAAAUAAAGACAAUAAUUUAAAACACUUCUCAUUCUGUAGUUAAGAUCAACAUGCUUCCUUUUUUUUUUUUUUUGCCUUAAAUUCAGGAUUAAAACGAAGCAUGUAUUUUGAAGCCUGCUAGAAAUCUAGCUCUCAGCUCUCUAACAAGGGUCUUGCAUUAAUUUAGCAUGACUUCUGCGGGCAUUAAGAAGCAUCUGAAAAAUCUCCAGGUUUUUGCCACACAUAAGCAUCAACAAUAACACCUCCUUUUCAGAGGUACUAUUUGUGCUUGAAAUCAGAGAAGCACAGAAGAGUCUACACAUUCCUUUUUUUUUUUCCUUAGUUCUGUAGUUAUGGUAGGUUAUUAAUAAGAAAGUCACUGCUGAAGCAAUACAGCUUUGAAGUAACUGUAAGAAUUUAGAGCAAGUCUGAAUGACUUUUAUUUAAAUAUAGUCAAAAACUGUGGGCUUUUAGGUGUUAAAAAUUCACCUUUCUUGAUCUGUAGAAGUUCAAUGUGUCAGUAAGUGAUAAUGGUGCUACGUUUGCAAUAGGUUAUUUACUUAGCAAUUGCACUGCUGUGUGCAUUGGCUUCAGUAUGAGGAAGUCAAAGGGUCUGGGAUGUGUUUUUUUCCUAACACAUGUUUUAGUUUUGAAACUCCUUAAUACAAUCACUGACAUAAAACACGUCAUUUUUCUUGUAGCUACAUGAAGUACAAAAUACACAUACCACCAGCUGAAGAAUUUUGACAAGAACGUGGAGAAACUGAAAGGUGUAAAUUAAAUCAUUUCAUUCUCUAGCCUAUUUUACAUAGCACGAUCCUUCCGUGCAGUGGAUUCGGAUGUCAAAGAACCCUUUCUCUACAGAAUGACCAGUAGCAAAACCAGCAAUAAAUAGGAAAUGCUUAUACGUAAUUCCUUCCCAGACAGCUACUGGAAGAAAAAGAAGAAAAAAAAAGCAAAAAAAGCAACUGGAAUAUUGACAUAGCAUUUACUGUACAGCACUGCUUUUCGAGGAUGGUGACUCCACCUUACCAUAUCAACCAAGAACAACAAGCUUGCCAGUCAGAUGGUGAAACAGUUGUGAAGAGGUAGUAAGUAGUUCAUGGGUAUUUAUGCUUCUCAUUUAAGUUGGGACUGUAUGCUGAAACUGCUGGUCACACUCUAGUUGGCCCUACAACUUGCUGUGUGUUCAGCAACGAAUCUGUGCAUUGAACUUAGCAAUGAGAGGGUAUGGAGGCUCUAUGGAGGCUGUGAGACUAAUUAGUUCAGCAAGUUGAUCUGAGGAAAACUUUUUUUUUUUUUUUUUGCAGGCUGGUUUUCCACUGGAGCAACUUGCUGAGUUUGUUCACCAUGGCAACACAAGGCCUGAUGCAAGGGAAGUGGUAGGAGUGUGUGACCAGGGAUGGAGGGAAGGGCAGGAUGACUCUUACUGAGAGCAGCCCACAGCUAGGUCAGAUCAGCUCUCAUGUAGAACUACAGCCCGUGGGUAGAUCCUUACAGGUGUGGUUCUGCAGAAACACAACUUGGCUCUGCCUUGACUGAGAUUAGUACUGCUGUGGACAUCCUGAUUGCCUCUAUCAGUCCCACGCUGCAAAAUUAAGUGAGGAGCAGCUUCAUGGAGUUUACCUGUGGGCUCAGCUCCCUGAAGAAGCUGGCUGAGAGGUCACAUGAACAUUGGUGUUACGACAAGAGAAGGGAUGGGGCUGUAGCAAGUCAGAUUUAUGUCUGUUUGUUGUGGAUUUGCAGUAAUUCAGUCUUUCCUUUCCCCAUAGUUGCCAAAAUUACGGAAUGUGAUUUCUGAAAUACUUGUAGACGUUUCCAGGAAAAGUUUUUGUUGCUGUCCCAUGGCUUCUUAAAUUUGCGUGAUGGCCUUGCCCAGGCUAUCUGGCCAAAAAGACGCAGCCAACUUACACUGCUACUGUGGGGGGAGGAGAAAAACAGCAACUUUCUGAAUAGAUCCAUCAUGUGACCCCAGUGAGGAAAGACUACCAGAGGCACAGGAGGGGAAAACUGUUUCUCUGAAAAACUAAAAUGAAAAACUGAAAAUAUAGCUCCACCACAAAAGCAAAGGCAAGACAAAAAGCAAAACCAGCCAACCAGCAACGAUCUUGCAAAGGGAACUUUUGUUUCAAACAAUCAGAUGAGUU